UCUUGUUUUGCUCAGACAGUAAAGAAUCUGCCUGCAAUGCAGGAGACCCAGGCUCAAUCCCUGGUGCAGGAA
rnacentral:tRNA from 1 species